GCCUUCGAGGUGUAGUGGUCUGCAUGCUCGACACGUAAUCGAGAGGUCUGUGGUUCGAUUCCCGGCGAAGGCG
rfam:Stegodyphus mimosarum contig73246, whole genome shotgun sequence.